UACGAAGGGGGCUAGCGUUGCUCGGAAUGACUGGGCGUAAAGGGCGCGUAGGCGGCUUGUACAGUCAGAUGUGAAAUUCCUGGGCUCAACCUGGGGACUGCAUUUGAUACGUAUGGGCUUGAGUGGAGAAGAGGGUUGUGGAAUUUCCAGUGUAGAGGUGAAAUUCGUAGAUAUUGGAAAGAACACCGGUGGCGAAGGCGGCAACCUGGUCUUUAACUGACGCUGAGGCGCGAAAGCGUGGGGAGCAAACAGG
rnacentral:rRNA from 1 species